rnacentral:rRNA from 1 species
AACGAACGCUGGCGGCAGGCCUAACACAUGCAAGUCGAACGCCCUAGCAAUAGGGAGUGGCGCACGGGUGCGUAACGCGUGGGAAUAUGCCCUUCACUGCGGAAUAACGUUUGGAAACGAACGCUAAUACCGCAUAAUGACUCCGGUCCAAAGAUUUAUCGGUGAAGGAUUAGCCCGCGUUAGAUUAGCUAGUUGGUGAGGUAAUGGCUCACCAAGGCGACGAUCUAUAGCUGGUCUGAGAGGAUGAUCAGCCACACUGGGACUGAGACACGGCCCAGACUCCUACGGGAGGCAGCAGUGAGGAAUAUUGGACAAUGGGCGGCAAGCCUGAUCCAGCCAUGCCGCGUGAGUGAAGAAGGCCUUCGGUUGUAAAGCUCUUCUAGAUGUGAAGAUAAUGACGGUAGCAUCAGAAGAAGCCCCGGCC